UACGAAGGGGGCUAGCGUUGUUCGGAAUUACUGGGCGUAAAGCGCGCGCAGGCGGUCUUUCAAGUCAGUGGUGAAAGCCCGGAGCUCAACUCCGGAAUUGCCAUUGAGACUGCAAGACUUGAGGAUGAGAGAGGUGAGUGGAAUUCCCAGUGUAGAGGUGAAAUUCGUAGAUAUUGGGAAGAACACCGGUGGCGAAGGCGGCUCACUGGCUCAUUUCUGACGCUCAGGCGCGACAGCGUGGGGAUCAAACAGG
rnacentral:rRNA from 1 species